rnacentral:snRNA from 1 species
CAACAGAUGAUGCUUCUUCAU